rnacentral:RNase_P_RNA from 7 species
ACAAAAAGCUGGAUGAUCGCUCCGACUUAGGUCGGGGAGGAAAGUCCGAACACCCCCGCAGUAAUGUGGGAAAAAGGUACCACCUAACGGGUGGGCAGUAUGACGGGGAUAUCAUCCGGUCAUCCGAUCGGACAAGAAACUCCGCUGACGGAUCAGUGCCACAGAGACAAUACUAAUCGUGCCUCACUAUCAUUCGGCACUCCGUUACGAAUUACGAAUCUUGUACGAAACUACGAAACAACAAAUUUGUAGUUUUGUAGCGACAUUUGUGGAUUCGUACACAGAGCACCGAGCGACAGUGAGGUGCGGUGAAAGGUGAAAAGUGAAGGAAUGUUAAUCGCUUACACAAGCCUAAAACUUGUGAAAACGAGAAGGCUAUUCUUCUUACCGUGGGGUAACUCACGGCGUUGGAAAACCCUACCUGGUGCAACGCCAUUUACGGCGGCUUGAGGUCCCGCGCGAGUGGGAUCCCAGAGAGAUGAUCAUUAAACCACAGAUCUUACAACACAGAUCACACAAAUAUCUGUGAAAAUCUGUGAUCAAAAUCUGUGGUUACAGAAUUCGGCUUACGGGCUUUUUGUAAGC